CGGGGCCCGCACAAGCGGUGGAGCACGUGGUUUAAUUCGAAGCAACGCGAAGAACCUUACCAAGACUUGACAUCCCCUGACAGCUGUUGAAAGGCAGUGUCUCUUCGGAGCAGGGAGACAGGUGGUGCAUGGUUGUCGUCAGCUCGUGUCGUGAGAUGUUGGGUUAAGUCCCGCAACGAGCGCAACCCUUAUCCUUAGUUACCAGCACGUAAAGGUGGGCACUCUAAGGAGACUGCCGGUGACAAACCGGAGGAAGGUGGGGAUGACGUCAAGUCAUCAUGGCCCUUACGGCCUGGGCUACACACGUGCUACAAUGGUCGGUACAAAGGGUUGCCAAGCCGCGAGGUGGAGCUAAUCCCAUAAAACCGAUCGUAGUCCGGAUCGCAGUCUGCAACUCGACUGCGUGAAGUCGGAAUCGCUAGUAAUCGUGAAUCAGAAUGUCACGGUGAAUACGUUCCCGGGCCUU
rnacentral:rRNA from 1 species